CGAACGGGUGAGUAAUAUAUCGGAACGUACCCAAGAGUGGGGGACAACCAGUCGAAAGAUUGGCUAAUACCGCAUACGAUCUAAGGAUGAAAUGGGGGACCUUCGGGCCUCACGCCCCUGGAGCGGCCGAUAGCUGAUUAGCUAGUUGGUGGGGUAAAGGCCUACCAAGGCGAUGAUCAGUAACUGGUCUGAGAGGACGAUCAGCCACACUGGGACUGAGACACGGCCCAG
rnacentral:rRNA from 1 species